AUUUUUAAAGAGCCGCGGUAUUUUGACCGUGCAAAGGUAGCAUAAUCAUUAGUCUCCUAAUUAGGGGCUGGAAUGAAUGGCUUGACGAGAAAUUAACUGUCUCUUAAUAAAUUUUAAAAUUUAACUUUUGAGUUAAAAGGCUUAAAUUUUUCUUUAGGACGAGAAGACCCUAUAGAGCUUAACAUCUAAAUUAGAUAUUUUUUUAAGAUGGUUUAUUUAUGUUUAAUGGUAAUGUUUUGUUGGGGUGACAUGAAGAAUUAAUAAACUCUUUAUUAUAAAAUCAUUAAUUUAUGUUUAUUUUGAUCCAUAAUUUAUGAUCAUAAGAUUAAGUUAUUUUAGGGAUAAC
rnacentral:rRNA from 1 species